rnacentral:rRNA from 1 species
UACAGAGGGUGCGAGCGUUAAUCGGAAUUACUGGGCGUAAAGCGCGCGUAGGCGGCUUUGCAAGUCGGGUGUGAAAUCCCCAGGCUUAACCUGGGAACUGCAUUCGAGACUGCAUUGCUAGAGUAUGGGAGAGGGAAGUGGAAUUUCCGGUGUAGCGGUGAAAUGCGUAGAUAUCGGAGGAAGACACCAGUGGCGAAGGCGACUACCUGGCCUGUUCUUGACGCUGAGGCGCGAAAGCUAGGGGGAGCAAAACGGG